ensembl:lncRNA
GAGAAAGUCAUCGCUUUGUUAUUGGCCCUUGGACGCCCCUGGCAUCUCAUGUACAGCACAAAGUUUUCAGCUAUGAAGGUAUAUUCUAGGCCUAUGUCUUAUUGUCCAGUGUUUUAACAGUAUUGAAAAUAUUGCCUUUAGUAGUUGUUUUAAAAAAAUAUAUAUUAUGUAGAUUUCCAGAGACUCCAGAAUGAAAACCAAGCUCUGAGGGAGGAGAACCAAGCCCUGAGGGAAUGCAAUGCACAAGCAGGUGCGUUACCUGAAAGGAGCAUCUGACCGUGAAGGCAGAAAAAGGCGCCGCA